rnacentral:rRNA from 1 species
CAAGGAUUCCCCUAGUAACGGCGAGUGAAGAGGGAAAAGCUCAAAUUUAAAAUCUGGCGGUCUACGGCCGUCCGAGUUGUAAUCUAGAGAAGUGUUUUCCGCGCUGGACCGUGUACAAGUCCUUUGGAACAAGGCGUCAUAGAGGGUGAGAAUCCCGUCUACGACACGGACUGCCAAGCGCUUUGUGAUACACUCUCAACGAGUCGAGUUGUUUGGGAAUGCAGCUCAAAAUGGGUGGUAAAUUCCAUCUAAAGCUAAAUAUUGGCGAAAGACCGAUAGCGAACAAGUACCGUGAGGGAAAGAUGAAAAGCACUUUGGAAAGAGAGUUAAACAGUACGUGAAAUUGUUGAAAGGGAAACGCUUGAAGUCAGUCGCGUCUUCAGAAAUUCAGCUAGGCUUCUGCCUAGUGUACUUUUCUGUGGGACGGGCCAGCAUCAGUUUUGGCUGCCAGAAAAAGGUCGGAGGAAGGUGGCACCUCCGGGUGUGUUAUAGCCUCUGAUCGUAUGUGGCAGCCGGGAUUGAGGACCGCAGCACGCCUUUAUGGCCGGGGUUCGCCCACGUAACGUGCUUAGGAUGCUGGCGUAAUGGCUUUAAACGACCCGUCUUGAAACACGGACCAAGGAGUCUAACAUGCCUGCGAGUAUUUGGGUGGCAAACCCAUAUGCGGAAUGAAAGUGAACAGUUGGGACUUCUGUCAUGGAAGGCACCGACGCCCGGACCAGACCUAUUGUGACGGAUCCGAGGUAGAGCAUGUAUGUUGGGACCCGAAAGAUGGUGAACUAUGCCUGAGUAGGGUGAAGCCAGAGGAAACUCUGGUGGAGGCUCGUAGCGAUUCUGACGUGCAAAUCGAUCGUCGAACUUGGGUAUAGGGGCGAAAGACUAAUCGAACCAUCU